GAGGCAGCUUACUAAGCUAUUAUGACGUAGGUACGAAGCGUGGUAGCGACAGAUUAGAUACCUGGUAGUCCACGCGUAAACGAUGAUUACUCGGUGCUGCGAUACACUGUCAGUGCUAAGCGAAAGUGAUAAGUAAUCCACCUGGGGAGUACGAUCGCAAGGUUGAAACUCAAAGGAAUUGACGGGGGCCCGCACAAGCGGUGGAGCAUGUGGUUUAAUUCGAUGAUACGCGAGGAACCUUACCUGGGCUUAAAUGCAUAAUGACAGGCUGAGAAAUCAGUCCUUCUUCGGACAGAAUGCAAGGUGCUGCAUGGCUGUCGUCAGCUCGUGCUGUGAGGUGUCGGGUUAAGUCCCAUAACGAGCGCAACCCCUAUUUCUAGUUGCCAGCGAGUAAUGUCGGGGACUCUAGAGAAACUGCCCGUGCAAACGGUGAGGAAGGUGGGGACGACGUCAAGUCAUCACGGCCCUUACGUCCAGGGCUACACACGUGCUACAAUGGUAGAGACAGAGGGCAGCCACCCGGUGACGGGGAGCUAAUCCUUAAACUCUAUCUCAGUUCGGAUUGAAGUCUGCAACUCGACUUCAUGAAGCUGGAAUCGCUAGUAAUCGGAUAUCAGCCACGAUCCGGUGAAUACGUUCCCGGGCCUUGUACACACCGCCCGUCAAGCCAUGGAAGCUGAGGGUACCUGAAGUCGGUAACCGCAAGGAGCCGCCUAGGGUAAAAUCGGUAACUGGGGGUAAGUCGUAACAAGGUAGC
rnacentral:rRNA from 1 species